AGGAUGGGAUGCUCCGCUGUGCUUUUGUCUAACCGCCGUCGUGACUACCGCCGUGCUAAGUAUCGGCUUGAACACCUUGUACGGACGCAUAAAGGUGCCGAUGACCGGAGUUUCAGGUUUGUUUCCCUGUUUACCUGUUCAUGCAGGAUUAAUUACAGCUAACUUUACAAUAUAUAUAACUUGGUAGAUGGUUAAAUAAAUGCAAAACAAGAUAUAAAUUUUUGUAAUAAAUAUAAAUUUAAAUUAAUUUAAGCAAAAUUAUAAUAUAAUAAAAUACAUUAAUAACUACAUAGAUGAGUUCCUUGAAUAUUUGUGAAAUUCAUACUUAUAUACUAAUUUUAUUAAAAAAAUUUAAUUUUUCUAGUAUAUAUUAUAAUAUAAUAAAUAUUUUUUAUUAAAAAUAGUAUUUAUUUUUGGGUAAACUUGUGGAUCAGGUCAAUCUACCAGGAAGAAGAUGAACAAGGUUUCAAAGGUCUUAAAGUCAGCAAAGACCUAAUGGAAAUCGGCGGCGACGCCCUCAAAACCAACAUCACAACAUUGGGUCCGCUCGUCCUCCCAUUCUCCGAACAACUCUUCUUCUUCGCCACCCUAAUUUGGCGCCAUUUCUUUGGCGGCGAUAAAUCCAAAACCUCCCUAUCACCGUCGUCGAAGCCAUACAUCCCCGACUACAAGCUCGCCUUCGAACACUUCUGCGUCCACGCCGCAAGCAAGACGGUGCUAGACGAGCUGCAAAAGAACUUGGAACUCAGCGAAAACAACAUGGAAGCAUCGAGGAUGACCUUACACCGGUUCGGCAACAC
rnacentral:lncRNA from 1 species